rnacentral:lncRNA from 1 species
GGUUGAGACAUGGAAUUGCCAUUGAAAGCAAUAAUGCCUUGUUCAGAUUGAAACUAGGCUCUGAUACCACAAAUGUUGGGGAUAGAGGAGCAAGGAAAAAACAGAAUACUAUGAUGCAAGUAAAAGAAUCCAUUCGAUUCAGGAAAAGCGAUGUAGUAUUUAAAACAAGAGGAUUGAUACGAACACUUACAAGAUAUUCCCAAGUGCACACACUCUCUAUAUCCCUUGUUUCAUGAACUAUGGUCCUAUUUAUAGGACCUAUUGGUAACUACCUCACUCCUUAUGUCACCCAUGAUUGAGGUAGUUAUUGAAACUAUCAUAUAAUUACUAGAUCAUGAUUGAAGUAGUUAUUGAAACCACCCUAUAACUACUAGAUCAUGAUUGAGGUAGUUAUUGAAACCACCCUAUAACUACUAGAUCAUGAUAACUAUGAAUCAAAUCUCAACACUCCCCCUUGAUUCAUAGUUACAUACACCGAUUUGCGACAUGAAAUAAACAUGCUUUUGAAUUGGAAGCGACUUGCUACAAGAUAUUCGUAACUUGUUCAUCUAUUAAUUCUUCAUCAUUAUGACUCCACUUGCUGCAAGAUCUCGGAUGAAAUGAUAGCGUAUCUCUAUAUGCUUCGUUCUUCUAUUAAACGUUGGAUUCUUCGUCAUUGCAAUUGUGGUUUUAUUAUCACAAAAUAUUUUCGUUGCUUCUUUUUGUUCUUGAUGAAGAUCUUCAAGAAGUCUUCUAAGCUAUAUUGCUUGACAAGCUGCUGAUGUUACGGCUACAUAUUCUGCUUCCGAUGUCGAC